GACGAACGCUGGCGGCGUGCCUAAUACAUGCAAGUCGAGCGGACGAAUCGAAAGCUUGCUUUUGAUUCGUUAGCGGCGGACGGGUGAGUAACACGUGGGCAACCUGCCCUGUAGACGGGGAUAACACCGAGAAAUCGGUGCUAAUACCGGAUAACACGAAAUGUCGCAUGACGUUUCGUUGGAAGACGGCGCAAGCUGCCGCUACAGGAUGGGCCCGCGGCGCAUUAGCUAGUUGGUGAGGUAACGGCUCACCAAGGCGACGAUACGUAGCCGACCUGAGAGGGUGAUCGGCCACACUGGGACUGAGACACGGCCCAGACUCCUACGGGAGGCAGCAGUAGGGAAUCUUCCGCAAUGGACGAAAGUCUGACGGAGCAACGCCGCGUGAGCGAAGAAGGCCUUCGGGUCGUAAAGCUCUGUUGUUAGGGAAGAACAAGUAACGCAGUAACUGGCGUUACCGUGACGGUACCUAACGAGAAAGCCACGGCUAACUACGUG
rnacentral:rRNA from 1 species